rnacentral:rRNA from 1 species
GACGAACGCUGGCGGCGUGCCUAAUACAUGCAAGUCGAGCGGACGAAUCGAAAGCUUGCUUUUGAUUCGUUAGCGGCGGACGGGUGAGUAACACGUGGGCAACCUGCCCUGUAGACGGGGAUAACACCGAGAAAUCGGUGCUAAUACCGGAUAACACGAAAUGUCGCAUGACGUUUCGUUGAAAGACGGCGCAAGCUGUCGCUACAGGAUGGGCCCGCGGCGCAUUAGCUAGUUGGUGAGGUAACGGCUCACCAAGGCGACGAUGCGUAGCCGACCUGAGAGAGUGAUCGGCCACACUGGGACUGAGACACGGCCCAGACUCCUACGGGAGGCAGCAGUAGGGAAUCUUCCGCAAUGGACGAAAGUCUGACGGAGCAACGCCGCGUGAGCGAAGAAGGCCUUCGGGUCGUAAAGCUCUGUUGUUAGGGAAGAACAAGUAACGCAGUAACUGGCGUUACCGUGACGGUACCUAACGAGAAAGCCACGGCUAACUACGUG